GGAGCAGAGGAGGUGAAGCGUUAGAUAAUCCAGUAAAGAGAUUCUCCCAAUCGAGUUGGCCGAGGUCAUCGAAAUUGAAUUUCCGGAGAAUGUCAUCAUCUUGAAAUUCUGUAUCCUCCAUGAUAAACAGAGACGAAGAUUAAAUGAGAGGAAAACUUGUUAUUUACAAGAAAUUGAUUCUAUCGCUUCUCCUUCAGAGAGCGGCACAGCUGAAUUAUAUACAGUAAUAGCGACAAUUCUUUGCUUUGUUU
rnacentral:misc_RNA from 1 species